AUACGGAGGGUGCAAGCGUUAUUCGGAAUCACUGGGCGUAAAGGACGCGUAGGCGGGUUGGCAAGUCAGAUGUGAAAUCCUACAGCUUAACUGUAGAACUGCAUUCGAAACUGCUAACCUAGAGUAUGGGAGGGGGAGAUGGAAUUAGUGGUGUAGGGGUAAAAUCCGUAGAUAUCACUAGGAAUACCGAAAGCGAAGGCGAUCUCCUGGAACAUAACUGACGCUAAGGCGUGAAAGCGUGGGGAGCAAACAGGAUUAGAAACCCCUGUAGUCC
rnacentral:rRNA from 1 species